CCGAGAAAGCGACCCGAGGGGAUGCUUGCUGGCCCGUAAUAAAGGCAUGUGCACUCCCUUGGAGUUUAUCAGUGAACCCUUCACUCUUGACACCCUGUGCACCAUUUGUAGGCUCGAGAAAUUGGCCUAUGUCUCAUCUCACACAAACGCGCAUAAAAUUGAAUGUAUUUUGUUGGCAAAAUAAAAA
rnacentral:misc_RNA from 1 species